AUGUGCGCACUCUCGCGGCUUUGGGCGCACGGGGCGUGGGCUCUCCUCGCGACCCUCCUCUCCUUCCUAAUCUCCUGCUGCCGCCACCCGGUCCUUCCUCCUUGCCUCUGCCAUUCGAUCUCCGCCGCUCGGUCUCCUCCCCUGCAUGCGCUCCGUCCCUUCCUCCUCGUUGGCGCUCAACUGGCAGUGGAUGAGCAGCGGCGGACGAGAUCGGCGCGUCACGAGAGUGGACACGGCAACUGUCACGGGCAGAGCAGAGCGAAGCCGGCGCGGCGGCCGGGCGCGAUCUGGAGAACUAGUGGGCGGUGGUGCCCGAUAUGGGCCGGCGCGACCUACGCAGGUGAGUUGUGUUGUUGUCCUCUUCGACGACGGCGGCGGGCGGCACGCCCAUCAGUGCCCGUGUGCCCCGGCCGGUGUGGACUGCUUGCGUUGGGCCAAAACAGCUGCUUGCUCAAGCCGGCGUAUGGACUGCCUGGUGCGGCCCCAUUCCCCCACCCCUGUCUGGGUUUGCUAGGAGCGUGCCCACUGCCCACACCCGACCUCGCCACCGGGCCGCAUCUUGGCGGAGCUAACACCGUAGGCCUCCAUCUCCUCUACCGAAGAAGGGUUAUUAUCACAUCCAUCCCCACCCAAGAGCGCUCUAAUCCUCUCGACAACAAUGCUCACCACAGUUGCAGUUGCGGGCGCGGAAGCCGCUGUCCCAUACCGAGGACGUGCAGACUGCAAGAGGAAGCACAUGCUGAUGGUGCACUUGCCUUUGGAAUAAUUACUUUGCUCUACAACAGUAUGAAGGAUAAAUACUUAAUAGGUACAGAGCUGCUGAGAGAAGGAAAAGCGAGGUUGGUCAUCCAUGAUGCAUUUAUAGAUCCAUUUGAUGAUGAAUCCCAUCCCAUCUUGAAUACCCCUCCCUUCAUUUCAAAGCUGAGGACCCAGGAUGCUAAUGGUGUAGAGCCGUUCACCAUCGAGAGGACCAGGGCUUCCAUCAUGGUCCUCCGGACCAAGCUCAACAUAUCCGCCGCCUUCGUCGACGACUUGUCCUGGAUGGUCGUUGCCGUCUGCAAUGACUCACCUGAAUGGGUGCACCCCACCUGUCACCGCCCCAGUUUCCUUUCAGGCGGCGCACCAAGGGUGCGCCCCAACCACUAG
rnacentral:rRNA from 1 species